CAUCAUUUCAAUUAAAUUGGCAGAAAAUGACGUUGCCACUUGCCACGGGUAAAGAAGUUGUGCGUUACUGUUUGAACAAACUGAGUGUGCCAGGAGGUGCCCGCAUAUCCCGGCUGCCAGCUUUACACAAACAUUAAAGUGAUACAGUCGUAGGAUUCCCAACGCAACUUGGGGAAGUGAAUGCAGCACUGAGCCGAUCAGCUGAGUAACUGGAGCAAAACGACGCUGGCUGGCGCUCUAGCUUGAAUCGUUCAGUCCUGUGGUCGUAAUUUUCGAUUAAAUUCGACAUCUCAGCGAUGUAUUACCAACACCCCCUGCAACAUCAGGCCAACGGAACUUUCGAUGACGGGCCGACGUCAGUUCGACGUACGUCUGCCGAGUUGGUUGAAUAUGACUGCAUUUUCAGUAAAUCACGAGGAUCUUGAGAUGGAACUGGCCACCAUCGCCGACAAAGAUAUCGGGGGUCUAAGUUCAAACACUUGACAGCUGAUCGAGAAAAUGUUGCCUGUCAGAAGGCCGUAUUUGCUAAGAAUCCCAAAUGAAGUGAUAUUGAAAACCUUCCAAAAGACAAACUUGUGUUCUGGACAGGGAAUGCCGUCCCCUACGCUGACAUGAACAUGAAAAAGUAUGCAUUUGGAGUCCUGUCGAUUGCUGUGAGCAGGUUUUCUUCAAAAUGAACUAUAUUGAAAACAAACAUCGCUCACACCUCACAGAUGACAUCUUACAAUUGUGUGUGAAAAUGAAGGCGGUAUUUGCAGCCCUGAAGUGCCGACGCUGUAUGCUGAGAUUCAGGAGAGAGAGAAAAAAAAAAUCACAUUAACCAGGUUAAGCGCUGACUGCACCCUCCACAUGCGAUAAAAUGAUGGCAGAACACAUACGGCAUUUUUGGUUCGCAACAGGUCCAAAUGGCUUUUUGGAGUACUUAAGGCUGCCGACCCCUGGCAUAUUGUGUCUUACAAAGAAACUGCAGGCCCAAUCACGAAUCGCAGAUUACGUUCGUCAUUCCGUGGACAAAGACUGUCUUCAGUGAAAGUGGAUUAAAGGCAUUUUGCACGCUCAUCCUGGUGUAAAUUAAAAUGUAAUCUUAAACUGGAUUGUUUGCCAAGUAUGGAGCAGUUUCAAACUAUAGUUAAGGAGUACUUGAGUACUGAAUGCUGUUGUUGUCUUGCCAAACACUGAUGGUAAUCAUGAUGUAUUGAUGCGAUUUGCCUAUGAAACGGCAGUAAUCCUGCGCUAUCCAGCCCCACCCCACCUGGGCUUCGGACCUGCACCGUGUCACCGGUUGAGAUUCGAGUGCACUGACUGCUGAGCUAAAAGGCCAGGUUGAUAUCUGAGCGGCGACCAACCUCUUUUGAAGACUGAGAAGUAAGUUUUUCUGGACGUACAUUUGCACAGCACAAGCUGGCAUCCGUUACACAUCCUGUAACUGUUGCUAUGUUUGUUUUUCAUGUGUAUUUUAUGUGGAACUACUGUGCUGCUGUCUUGGCCAGGAACCCCCUGUGACAUUCUGAAUCACAAUGGGACUAUUCCUGUUUAAAUAACGGUUAACAUAAAGAAAUAAAUAAGGUCCACUUCAACGGUGGAAAUAUAUAAACCUUUGGAACUAAUUACAUCAAAUACUGCACACCUUGAAGAGAAGACAGAUGGGACUUAGGGCAGAGAGACAUCAAAGACUUGUCACAACAAGAUGUUCCAGGCUCGAUGUGGGUCAGCUGUAAAGUUAGUUUUACAGCUGGGGACUCCAUGUGGCAGUGGCAUUUAUUAGAACGGCGCUAAUCUCCGUGCACUCAAUUCUUGUAUACAUGACAGGAGUGCGAUGCACAGUAUCAAAUGUAACAUUAGCAAUGCUGCACAAAUAUGCAGCAGCUUUCUAUAGACAGAGCACUUGCCCUUACUGCUGGGAUUACUCCCAGAAUGCAAUAUUCGCAAGAGUUUAGCACGGCUAUACCAGUAGAGUUAUAAGAAGAGCACGUUGGACUUUUGAAGAUCACACACGCACGCACACACACAUAUGAGGUUAAAUUUGGGGGAUCUUGCAGACGUUCUUAGAAAUGGCAACACUGUAACAUUGGGUGGUAAUGGGUUCUUCAGAAGACCAAAUAGUAUUCAAGUUGGGUAUAACUUGAACAGAGAUUUAUUUGCACUUGAAUUUGCUUUUGAGAUAAAAUUAGCAAUAUGCUCUACAUGCGAGACUAUAAAAAGCAAGUGUUACCUGCAUGAGAGUAGUAAUUUACAGCAUAUAAUUGAUUGAUACUUUAACAAAAAAUAAACAUUUUUAAUCUGAAGGUGCAGCCACCUGAACGAGCCUCUAUCAAAACACUCAUUUCAGUCAUGUGAUAUGGGGAAAAAAGUAAGACCACAAGCUAGUAAAAAUCAGCUACAAAAUUAAACUUUCGGAGAGCUUCUUCGAAAAAUGGAACAGGACAAAUAAUGAGACAGAAGAAGUUUCCGGAAAAAUAACCUGUAUUUAAGAGACAAUAUUGGCAGGCCUAUUUCAGGUUUGGUAAUCUUUGAAGAUUAUUGCUGAAAAUAUAUGCAAAGACUGAGACCUGUGUACUACUCAAUUGUGGGGGUAUAGUAUUAAACUGUUUUUCACCAUUUCAGUUUUCCUGAAAUUUUUGGGCAUGGCUAGAACAGCGCCCAGGUAUGCCCUUGGACAUCUGGCAUGAGUCGCUCCUAACCCGCUAUAUCCUUUGUUCCAUCAGUGGCUAUCCGACACAAUUGCAAGUUACUUAUUUAUAAUUACUUGGCCCAUUUCUACCACGACUGCAGGCAGUUAGCUAGCUAGCUAAACCCCGAAAAUGCAUCAUCCCUUGACGCCAUGAAUUCACCGAAGAGCUCGGUUUCAUUAUUCAAAUUCCCAAGUAUUGUGUUAUUAAUGCUAUCGGAAUAUGUUGAAACGUAAAGUAUUGUCGGUUUACAACUAGAGGAAACGUGCUCAAUUGUCUGUCAUGUUGUGUGCUCAACAGGCUGAAUAAUGUGUGCCUCUGUGUUUAAUAAACGGUUACUUUUCUCUGAA